rnacentral:lncRNA from 1 species
ACCAGUGCUGGGGAGCUCUCUGAAUGUCAUCACCAGCAAGAGCAAGAAGUAUUGGCAGCAGCAGGCAGCCAGGCAGGCUGGGAGUUUGCAUGGAAAUCAUGAAGUCUUUCUUGUCUUCCUCUUUUGAAAUAUUUUGGAAGGAGAGUUAAGAAUAGCUCAGAAACUGGUCUCAUUCUUUUUGUCAGAAGAAUGACCAGAAGCAUAAAAGCUAAGUCUUCCAGCAAGUGCAAGACACCUCUUUCAGUGUUUGCAGUAAACCUAACAAGAGUGAAUUGCUAUCAGUAAAGUCCUGUACCAUGACACCCAGAAUGAAGGAACUGGUAAAGCAAAGUAAUAACUCAAAGACCAUCACCGAGGGCUUUUGUCUACCUUUAACUCAUUGUGGAACUUGACAUCAUCAGACAGUAAAUCAAGAGGUACUGACAACUAAGGCUGAAUGAUAGUCCCUGCCUAGGAUUUGGAAUCUUUGCAUGAAACAGGACUGUAAACACCAGCGACAAAGAAGUCAGGGAGACUGUUGUCUCUAGGAAACACUUCCAGGAAACAGGAAUGCAGAUCAGAAACCAUGGAUAUGGAGGACUGACUGUAUGUAUAUAUAUAUUCCAUCACGAGAUUAGUAUUCCUAUGGAAAAAAGAAGAGAGACCAGAGCUCACUGCCUCCUCCAUGUGAAGACAGAGUGAGAAUGCUGCCCUCUGCUAGACAGGAAAUGAGCCCUCAGUGGGGAACGAAAUUGGCUGGCACCUUGAUCUUGGACUCCUCAGCCUCGGGAACUGUUAGAAAUAAAUUUCUGUUGUUCUAGCCACCCAGUCUAUGGUAUAUUAUUAUGGCAGCCCCAGCUGUCUAAGACCAACACAAAAAUGAUAAUACUCUGGCUCCUACUAUUGCUCUAAGUAAUAAUCUAUUAUUGUCUCUGACUCCUGAGUCUCAUAUUUUCUGCAAGCAUGUAAGAUGCUAAAGUGAAUUAUGUUACUCUAAGAGUGAAAUAUAUAAUGCACCCUUCCUUAAAUGUAUUGACAUAGAAACUUUUUUAUGUUCUAAAUGAAACAUUUUAGAAGACAUUUGCUGUAGAUUCUCUUGGCCUACGUUUUAAAAGCAUGAGUGGGACAAGUAUACUUCAGAUUCUCUUUGACUUUGAGAAAAUUACUUAAGAUUGCCCAUUUUCUUUGGCUUCUGUGUAAAAAUUUGAUAAGGUGCUUUGUCAAGAAUAAGCUGCACUGAAUGGUCGACACUAAUAGGAUAGUCAACAGGGAAGAAAAUUUCCUCCUUUAAAUUUUUGAUAAGAUAACAAUUAGCCUUUGUUUUCUACAUCAGUCUUUUGCGGGCAAGAUCAGUGUGCCAAACUGUCUCAUCAGUGUCCUUCUCUUUUUACCCUCACAGUCUGUAUGAGCCAUUGUGGUUUGAUAAAAUAUGCUUUCUAGCCGCAUUUGCUCAUCUGUAUUUAUAUAUUAGCAUGGUACAUUGGAAAACAGGAGCAUGCAUUUGUGUUUGAUCCUUUGUAACAAAUGAUCACAAAUUUAGCAGCUUAAAAUAAUACAGAUGUAUUAUCUCACAAUUUUUAUGAGGCAGGAGCCUGGGUAUAGUUUUCUGUGUUGUGUAUAAAGACACAUGUAACCCCAUGCAUUUAUUUUUUCUGUUCUGUUAGAAGGAAUUAGUGUAUCACAGCUGGUUUAUAUCCUUUUCUUAUAUGAGCGAGAUAUCGUUCUUUCUCAUAUAAAAAUGGGCAGUUCUCAAGAGUAGCCUAAGAGCAGGAGAAAGCACAUUUUAACAUAUUGUCAAUGUACAGAGUAGAAGACACAAGAUAUUUAAAGGGAGUAAAUCCGGAGACUCUUCAGAUGAAGGGCCAGCCAUAAGUAAAAUAAUGUAUUUCUUUAAAGCAGCACAUGGAACCCCAGAUUAUGUUUUCACAUAUUUAGAAAUAAUAAUUUAAUGGGAAAGCAUUCUUAAUAUUCACUGGAUGUAAUUUUCCCAUAAAUUCUAAAUUUUGUAUAUCACUAAAAAUAGAAAUGAAUCAUGACGGUAUAUUAGAGAAGAAUUAUAUUUUUAUAAAAAGGAUAUAACUAAACUAACUUGAAGACAUUUUGUCUUGUAGGAAAUAAAAUAAAAACUAAGUCAUGCCAGCAAAUAUUACAACUUAAACAGGAAUAACUUUUGCUCAAUUCGACUAGAUUUUCAAAAAUUUUAACAAGCUCUGAACAUUUUCUGUAUACUUAUUGUGCAUUGCUUUUAUCUAUUGUUUCUGUUGUUUCUAAGGAUAUAUUUAAA